GCUGCCAGGGAUCUGUGAGCUGUGACUGGCCAGUCUUUACCCUCUCUGAGGAAAGUCUGUGCACUGUCUCAGGACAGACAAAAGAACACAGCAGGCGAGUCUCCAGUCUGCUGCAGAGCUGGGCUGAUGUCCUGGUGUGGAAGUCCAGGCCGUCUGGUGCGUCUUGGAUGAUCUGGGUCGCCUUCCUCCAGGUUUCGGAGCAAGGGCAGCACCUGUUGGUAGAUCCUGGUAAAAGAGGAACGAGGAAAAGCCUCUGACUUUGAGCCUCUUAAAACCGAGCAAAUUUGAACCAGAGGUCCAAGCAUGAAAAUAGAUUCCUUAAGGGAUGAAUGAGCCUGUGUGAUAUGAAAGCUCCUUCCGGGAGUCCAUGCCCACUUAUUUGCAAGCUUAUCCAUCUAGAUUUCCACCCAUGAAUGUCUAUUUGCUACAUAUUAUCUCAAGCUGUGGCCCAGGGUAGAGCAAGCUUAACCAGGAAAAUUACAGGGAGCUCUACCAUCACUGUCCACCCAGAAGGUGUUGGCUAGCAUGGAGACUGUGCACCCAAGUGCACAUGUAGGCAGAGUGGGCCAGAAGAAGCACAGAGGGGGCUGCCAGGUGGCCUGGGGGCAACAGGAACAAGAGCUGGACCACGUGCUGUCAAGAAAAGGAACAAGUUUCAGAGGCUUCCUCUCCAUUCCAUCUGGAAACAGAAAUGGAGUUGUGAGAAAUGGCUUACCACAGUGACUUGUCUGAAAGUUGAAAAGACUGAUGCUCACAGCAGGGAAAGCACGGGGUCCAAGACCUCAUCAUCAUUGCCAGCUACUGCCAGCCCUGAUGCUGGGCUCCCUGCUCCACAGUGCUGUGCUCACUACCUCACAACUAGUCCAGAAGAGCGGUGGAAAGGAGGCUGCUGGGGAUUGAAAGGGGGGGAGGUCUGCAGCUAUGGCCCUAUGAAGGGGUCUGCAGCUAUGACCCUAGGGCAGGCACUCUGCAACGAUGGUUCUUUUCGGCCUUCCAUAGCCAGAGUCAGAGUCUUCCCCGGAGCUGCCCAGACUUCUCUCCUGGUGAUUACUCUGUAAAUGUAUAUAGGGAGUUAAUGGGUAACUAAGACUUGUUAUGAUGUGCCAAUAAUAGCAGGCUCUCAAGUCCUAAGAGCUGGCAUAACUCAAAGGCCUACAUUGUCUUAAGAUGUGGUCACAAGUUCUCUGUAAGUCCCAGACAGUUUGAGUUGAAAUGCACUCUUAAUGACCAUUCCUGAAGAACCUCACUUUUUUUAAAGAUCAUUGCUGAUCUAAUUUUUUUUCAUUUACCAUUCUCUGCUCUGAUCACCACCCGCUUUCACUCACUGGAUCAGUAUUCACCAGCACCUGAUCAGGACAGAUACCAUUCCAGCAAUGACCUGGGCCACAGCUUACUGUGGAUGUAGAGUUCCGAGGACCAGGGCAGUGGUGAGAACCGAACACCACGAGAACUCAGAAUAAGGCCACAUAGCUUCUGAAGAAGAUGUCACAGAGAAGUUGCCUUGUGCCCUGAAAUCUUGAAGGUAUCAGUUCACCAGGAAACAGUGGAUGGACAAGGGAGUCUACAGGACACUCUGUGGACAAAGAUUCGGAGACCACGGCCCCUUACAGGUGAAUGGGCACCAGCUGAACAUGGAGGAAGUGACUUCCUGCUUCCUGGGGAAGCAGAGGCAGGCCCCUGUGUAUCUUUAGUUCCAUUAAGAACAUACCAGAAUGCAUGUGCCUUCCAGAGAUCAGAGCCUGUCUACCAGUGGUAUCCUCAAUACAGAACCUCCCUCCUCUGUGAGGGCUGAAGAAGGAACCCCACCUCUUCAUUUCUGGAUUCAUCAGAGGUCACACUCUAGGACCCUAUGCACGCGCGUGCGUGUGUGUGUAUGUGUAUACAUGUAUGUAUAUAUGUAUAUAUGCAUUAUGUAUUUAAACAACUAUGGAUUGGGUGGGAUGUAGCUUAGUUCACAAGCACUUGCUCAGCACGAACAAAGCCCCGAGUUUAAUCCCCAGCACUAUAUAUCUAUAAUCCCAGUACUUAAGAGAGACACAGAAGGGAGCAUCUGGAGUUCAAGUUCAUCCUUGGGUGCAUAGCCAGUUCUAGGCCAGCCAGGGAUACCUGAAACCCUGUCUCAAAAACAAACAAACAAAGCCACAAUAUCCUGUAUCAUGGUCUCUCAUUCAUCAUGAUAGUGGCCUGAGCCAAGGACUGGAGGCCUUUUUCCGACAAGGUUUGAGCUCACUCUCCAAGCCCCCUCCAGCCUCUCUACCCAGCUGUUCUCACUCAUUUACUGCCUGAUGUCCAUCAGAGUUUAAACACCCUCGCCCUGAGCCUGGUAAAUAAAGCAGCACUUAUUCUA